AGUCGCCGUACCAUCCACCAUGGCGCAAAGGAUUAAUGGUACUUUAGGCCUACUAGGCCUAGGCCUAUUAAAGAUGUACUUAAUUAACUUCAUUUAAUGCAUCUUCUGGAGAAUUUCGAAAGGGAGAAGAUUACCAGUGACGAAAUCUCUGAGCUGCCCAACUUGAAAAUUUGAGUGUGACAACAAUUGGUGAUAAGCACCGACUAAGAAUAAAUUGUAGACAAACAGGUAUUCCUAUUUGUACCUGUGUAUUGUAUCUAUCAUAAAGUGACUUUCAUAUGUAUAUAUUUUAUGAUCCAUUUUGUCUAAAUUUAUGCCAGCCAGACACAGCCCCUACACCAAAAGAAAGGAAAGCACCCGAAGACGCCAUGGACUCAGAAGAUAGUUUGCCUGUCAGAUCCAUCAACAAUGAUAACACCAAAAUGUUGGCAAAAGCAACAACUAGCAGAAGCUGGGCUUGGUAAAAAAACAUAACAGUACAUAACAGUAUAAAUCCGGAUGAAUUCCAGGAAG